rnacentral:rRNA from 1 species
UAUGUUCGGACGGGAUAACCGCUGAAAGCAUCUAAGCGGGAAGCCCACCUCAAGACGAGAUGUCCCAAGCGUAAGCUUCUGAAGGCCCCUUGAAGAUUACAAGGUCGAUAGGCCAGAGGUGUAAGUGGCGAGGUAACGAGCCAUUCAGCCGACUGGUACUAAUAGCCGUGCGGCUUGACCA